rnacentral:rRNA from 1 species
GACGAACGCUGGCGGCGUGCUUAACACAUGCAAGUCGAACGAUGAAGCCUUUCGGGGUGGAUUAGUGGCGAACGGGUGAGUAACACGUGGGCAAUCUGCCCUGUACUUUGGGAUAAGCCUUGGAAACGGGGUCUAAUACCGGAUAUCACUUACCUCCGCAUGGGGGUUUGUUGAAAGUUCUGGCGGUACAGGAUGAGCCCGCGGCCUAUCAGCUUGUUGGUGGGGUAGUGGCCUACCAAGGCGACGACGGGUAGCCGGCCUG